AGGACGAACGCUGGCGGCGUGCUUAACACAUGCAAGUCGAGCGGUAAGGCCUUUCGGGGUACACGAGCGGCGAACGGGUGAGUAACACGUGGGUGAUCUGCCCUGCACUUCGGGAUAAGCCUGGGAAACUGGGUCUAAUACCGGAUAUGACCUCCUAUCGCAUGGUGGGUGGUGGAAAGAUUUAUCGGUGCAGGAUGGGCCCGCGGCCUAUCAGCUUGUUGGUGGGGUAAUGGCCUACCAAGGCGACGACGGGUA
rnacentral:rRNA from 1 species